rnacentral:rRNA from 1 species
UUGCUUCUCUUGAGAGCGGCGGACGGGUGAGUAAUGCCUAGGAAUCUGCCUGGUAGUGGGGGAUAACGUUCGGAAACGGACGCUAAUACCGCAUACGUCCUACGGGAGAAAGCAGGGGACCUUCGGGCCUUGCGCUAUCAGAUGAGCCUAGGUCGGAUUAGCUAGUUGGUGGGGUAAUGGCUCACCAAGGCGACGAUCCGUAACUGGUCUGAGAGGAUGAUCAGUCACACUGGAACUGAGACACGGUCCAGACUCCUACGGGAGGCAGCAGUGGGGAAUAUUGGACAAUGGGCGAAAGCCUGAUCCAGCCAUGCCGCGUGUGUGAAGAAGGUCUUCGGAUUGUAAAGCACUUUAAGUUGGGAGGAAGGGUUGUAGAUUAAUACUCUGCAAUUUUGACGUUACCGACAGAAUAAGCACCGGCUAACUCUGUGCCAGCAGCCGCGGUAAUACAGAGGGUGCAAGCGUUAAUCGGAAUUACUGGGCGUAAAGCGCGCGUAGGUGGUUUGUUAAGUUGGAUGUGAAAUCCCCGGGCUCAACCUGGGAACUGCAUUCAAAACUGACUGACUAGAGUAUGGUAGAGGGUGGUGGAAUUUCCUGUGUAGCGGUGAAAUGCGUAGAUAUAGGAAGGAACACCAGUGGCGAAAGCGACCACCUGGACUAAUACUGACACUGAGUGCGAAAGCGUGGGGGAGCAAACAGGAUU